rnacentral:rRNA from 1 species
UACGAAGGGGGCUAGCGUUGCUCGGAAUCACUGGGCGUAAAGCGCACGUAGGCGGAUUGCUAAGUCAGGGGUGAAAUCCUGGAGCUCAACUCCUGAACUGCCUUUGAUACUGGCGAUCUUGAGUCCGGGAGAGGUGAGUGGAACUGCGAGUGUAGAGGUGAAAUUCGUAGAUAUUCGCAAGAACACCAGUGGCGAAGGCGGCUCACUGGCCCGGUACUGACGCUGAGGUGCGAAAGCGUGGGGAGCAAACAGG